CUACUCCGUUUUAGUCGCGAUAAGAAUAAUACUAUUGCGCAAGUGCUCAGUUCAUUCCCGCUGAAUAUUUCGUUCAGGCAGGAUUUGAUUGGCCCCCGACUUGUGUCAUGGCAUAAUCUUUUAUCCCGACUGGAUUCGAUUAACCUGACACAAGGCCGGGAUGUGUUUCGCUGGAACCUUACUACAUCAGGUUCUUUCACUCUA
rnacentral:rRNA from 1 species